GAGGUCCAGCUGCAGCAGUCUGGACCUGAGCUGGUGAAGCCUGGGGCUUCAGUGAAGAUAUCCAGCAAGACUUCUGGUUAAACUUUUACUGGCUACUACAUGCACUGGGUGAAGCAGAGCCAUGGAAAGAGCCUUGAGUGGAUUUGAUAUAUUGAUCCUUACGAUGGUGUUACUAGCUACAAUAAGAAGUUCAAGAGAAAGGCCACGUUGACUGUAGACAAGUCCUCCAGCACAGCCUACAUGGAGCUCUGAAACCUGACAUCUGAGGAAACUGAAGUCUAUUACUGUGUAAGA